AAGUCGUAACAAGGUUUCCGUAGGUGAGUAAACAUCCACGCCCUUGUUUUGUUGCUUGUGUUUUGACAGUUAUACUAACGGUAUUAUAGGUGAACCUGCGGAAGGAUCAUUAAAGAGUUAGGGUCUCUCCAGGCCCGACCUCCCAACCCUUUGUUUACUUUGCUGCAUGUUGCUUUGGCGGACCCGUCUCACGACCGCCCCGGGACCGCCGAGAGGCGCCCCUGGGCCCGUGUCCGCCGAUAGCCUACCUAAACUCUUGAAUGAAUCGUGUUUUAUGUCUGAGUCUAUUGAUUAAAUCAAAAGCAAAAACUUUCAACAACGGAUCUCUUGGUUCUG
rnacentral:misc_RNA from 1 species